UUGAUAUGACACAUCAACACAAGUAUAACUGGGAGCUGGAAGGAAAGUGAUGGUUUUCUUUGCUAUCUCCCAUUACUCGGAUACCCCUAAAUAGUUUCCAGUUAAACAAACCGUCUUCAGAAGUCACCUAAUCACCUUGACAUCAACUGGAGCAGCUGCAGCAGCAGCCUUGGCCUUCUCCUCCUCUUCUUGCUGCCACAGGAUGAUAGGAUGAAUGGCUGCGCUCCGGUUCCGAGCAUUUUCCUCUAGCUGUGCUGAACUGGGGUUGGAACGCCAACAUGGGCAAAUCAAAGUGCAUAAAACAGAGUUAGGGGGAUAUAACCUGAGGCUAGUGGGCAGUCAGCUUCCAUGCACUCUUUGAUCAAACACCAAAGGACCUAAGCUUCCUCAAGAAGUACAGUCUGCUCUGUCCCUUCUUGUAGACGUCUUCACAGUUGCAUCUCCACUCCAGUCUGUUGUCCAGGUGAACACAGAGGUACUUACUUAUAGUCCUUCACCACCUCUUCUCCCAUAAUGGAAAUAGUGUUUGACCUAUUCCAGUUUCUCCUAAAAUCCACAAUCAUUUCCUUUGUUUUAUUCAUGUUCAAGAUGAGAUAAUUGUUUCUACACCAUGCCACAUAGCGGUUCACCACCUCCCUUUUCUCAGCUUCAUGUCCACCUCUGAUAGUUAUUUUCCUCUUUUGCCCGAAGGACAUGAUGUCCAUGAUUUCCAAAAAUAAUUUGAAAUGUGGACUUGCCAGACCACAGCACACUUUUCCCCUUUCCUUUUCCACUUUCCGUCAGUCCAUCUCAGCCCACGCGAUAUCUGUUACAGAAUGAUGUUGGUUUUCAAUGCAGUGCCUUCUGAGGGUUCGAAGGUCAUGGGUAUUCAAUGAUGGUUUCUGGCUUUGCUGCUUUCAUGCCGAGGUUUUUGCAGAUUUUCUGAAUCUUUUUAUGAUUUUAUGGACUGUAGAUUAUGAAAUCCCUAAAUUGUACAUUGAGAAACGUACUUAAACUGUUGGACUACUGCUCACCCAGUUGUUCACAAAGUAACGAACAUCGCCCCAUCCUUGCUUGUGAAUGACUGAACCUUUGGGGAUGCUCCUUUUAUACCCAAUCAUGACACUCACCUGUUUCCAAUUAACCUAAAAUUAAAAGUUUAUCUGUUUGAACAUUAAAUAUCUUGUCUUUGUAGUGGAUUCAUUUGCAUGUAGAUUAAACAGGAUU